GACGAACGCUGGCGGCGUGCCUAAUACAUGCACGUCGAACGCAGUGGGGACGGGUGAGUCACACGUGGGUAACCUCCCAUCAGAGGGGAUAACACUUGGAAACAGGUGCUAAACCGAUACUGAUGGAUGAUCCCGCGGUGCAUUAGCUAGUUGGGGAGGUAACGGCUACCCAGGGCAACGAUGCAUAGACGAGCUGUGAGAGUGAUCGGCCACAUUGGGACGGAGACACGGACCAGACUCCUACGGGAGGCAGCAGUAGGGAAUCUUCGGCAAUGGACGAAAGUCUGACCGAGCAACGCCGCGUGAGUGAAGAGGGUUUUCGGAGCGUAAAACUCUUUUGUUAGAGAAGCGGUAUCUAACCAGAAAGCCACGGCUAACUACGUGCCAGCAGCCGCGGUAAUAC
rnacentral:rRNA from 1 species